GUGUAUAUUUUGGGUCCGUGUAUAUUUUGGCAAUUGGAUUUUCCUUUCUGAAAUGGAGUGAAAGUAGCAGUUCCUCCUGAAGGUCAGAGAUUGCAGCAUCUGAGGGCCUCUUCAAAAGAAGAUGUAGUUGAUGAAGACGUUCUGGAGCAGGACCAGAAAGACCACGACCAAGCAGCCUUGAGAUCUUAGACAGCGUCUCCCUCAGUUCUGCUGGGCCAGCUCAGCUUCCCCUCAGAAGAAGUGCUGCCACCUGCCAGAUGAAGGAGCCUUUUGAGAGGCAGCUGGCAUCGUGAUUGGACUGUACUUUGGUCUGUUCCAAUCCAGCUUCAGCUCCAGAGACGGCAGGCGGGACGAGUCAACGGAGGCCGGGUGGAUGAAGACAUGCAGCUGAGUACAAUCCAGAAAACAACAGAGGAGGAGUGCAGCAGCCCAGAGCCAGAACAACCAGAGUAGCAUCACCAAAGAACUACAGACUCUUCACAACCUGCUCAAACUCUUGGUACAGGACCUCACCACACGGGUCAAGAAGGUUUCCAUCUCAUUUCUACUCUGAAGCUCACCUUCUCCUGCUCAAACUGCUGACAAAUGUUUCUGCUGCUCUAAAGUCUGGUCUCCAGAACUUCCUAAAAACUCUCAAAGUCUCUGCUGCUGCAGGUUGCUUUGUAGAACUGUUCCAGAAAACCUCACUAAACCACAUGGAGGGUCCUCAAGAUAGUCGUCCAAAUGAAACCAUACAAAAACCAAACUAGCACAACCCAAACGCUAAAGUCUCCUGCAGCCUACCAGAGAACCUCUUUAAACAAAGAAUUAGGACAGGAACUCUUACCUUCUG
ensembl:lncRNA